rnacentral:lncRNA from 1 species
GUUUGUGAUUGACUUACAUAUUUGUUUUUCGUUCAUUUUUUUUACAUAAAUAAGGCCGUUAGUUUUCUCGUUUGAAUUGUUUUACAUUGUCUUAUCGGGGCCUUUUAUAGCUGACUAUGCGGUAUGAGCUUUGCUCAUGUUGAAGGCCGUACGGUGACCUAUAGUUGUUAAUGUCUGUGUCAUUUUGGUCUUUUGUGGAUAGUUGUCUCAUUGGCAAUCAUACCACAUCUUCUUUU